rnacentral:rRNA from 1 species
GACGUAGGGUGCGAGCGUUGUCCGGAUUUAUUGGGCGUAAAGAGCUCGUAGGCGGCUCGUCGCGUCAGCUGUGAAAACCCGCAGCUUAACUGUGGGCUUGCAGCUGAUACGGGCGGGCUAGAGUUCGGUAGGGGAGACUGGAAUUCCUGGUGUAGCGGUGAAAUGCGCAGAUAUCAGGAAGAACACCCGUGGCGAAGGCGGCUCUCUGGAACGCAACUGACGCUGAGACGCGAAAGCGUGGGGAGCAAACAGG